GCCAGGGCCGUGUCCUUCACCGAGGUGACGGAGGUCUCCUGCUGUCCCUGCAGAUGCCGACGAACAGCCCUCGGGGAUAAAGGAGCGGGACACGGAACAAAGGGCACCCGUCCCCUGCGUCCGGCCCACAGGGCGAACCACAGGCGGGUCUCCGAGCUCAGAGGCCAUCUCUGCGGCCCCGGAGCCUCUUCUGCCGGCCUCUGGGCGCCGGCUGGCCCAGGACGCGGGGCCGAGGGUUCUGGGGGGACAGGCUCCCUCUCUCGGCUCCCCCCGCCGCGCCCACAGCCUGACCCCUGGAACCCAGGACCUCUCCGCACGCCCCACCCGACCCGGCCACGGAGCAGAUGGCAGGCCAAGACCCUCGGGAGCGGCUCUUGGGCGCCAUUGGCGAUGCGCGUGCGCGUGCGCGUGCGCGUGGCGGGCGGUCACGGGCACGCGCUUUCUCUGGCCGUUGUGCACAGGGCCAGGAAGGGAGCCCGGCCGACCUCGGGGUCCGCCCAUGUCCGCCGCUGGAGGGAGGCAGUGCGGCUCCGAGCGCGUCCCCGCCACAGCCCGCGGGGAGAGCCCGGCCAUGGCCACGCCAAGCUGGGCUGCUGUAGCCCCAGGACCUGCCCCUCAGGGGACAGUGGGGAAACGGAGGCCAGGAGCGGCAGGGACUGGCUGGGCGCUUGAGCUGGGCAGAGGCCAGAGGACAAGAAAUAGAGGCUCCUCCCGUUUGCAUCGCGGCGUCUGUGUUUCCAUUCACUGGCUUAUUCAUCCACUCGUUCACUCAUGGCCUCACUCACUCACUCAUUCAGCCAGUCAUUCAUUCAUUCAGGCUUUCACUCAUUCAUCAUCCGUUCAUUCGUUCAGGUAGGAAUUCAUUCUUUUAAUCGUUCAGCCAGUAGCCUCUAUUCCCUGCUUGUGUGCCCAGCACUGUAACUUCACCAGGGAGCAAAACCCAAUAUGGUUCCUGCCCACGUGGAGCUCAGGUCCCUUGUGUGACACGAAGAAAACGUCAGAGGAAUCCCAUGCUGGGGGCUGCCAUCUUGGGUGACCCUUGAUCCCAUGUUCAGGACAAGAGCCCCUUACCACGUUUCCUGCAGGCUGCAGGCAAAGGUGGACCCUGAGGGCAGCUGUGGCUCAGAGAGGCCUGAGGAAGAUGCCCCGCAGGGGCUGAGGGUCUCUGGGCUCAGGGUGGGGAGGCAGGCGGCGCAGGGAGGGAAACGAGAGGCGGGGUAAGUGGGCACCGGGAGCCGCCACCUGGGCUCUGACCUUGUGUUUUUGCCUCUGUGCCUCUCCCUGGUGAGAAAAGCUCAAACCGUCUACACUAACCCCACCCCUCGCCCCUCGCCCACCCCAUCCCUGUACAGUCCAGAGUGGUGAGAGCCAAGGAGGGGAGAGGCAGGGACAGGGGGAGCCCUGGCCACCACUUCCCCUCACUCCAAUUAGAAAUAUCUGCUCUGGUUCCACCCUCAGCAUCGGUUCCCCUGGUUCCCAUGAACCCCCUUCUCCCUGAGCCCCAGUCCUCACCCUCAGAGAGUUGAGCGGGACUGGCUCUGCACCUCCAUCCUCCACAGGGGUCUCCCAAGUCCCCCAAGAGGUGCUUCCCAUGCCACUGCCCUCAGCCCAGGCACUCGUCCGAGCUGGAGAGCUGUGCACACCUCAACUCUCAAGGUUCAGGGGGUCCAGAGCCCCCCAAGCACCAGCAGGCUCCCCUCCCACCCUCUGCAGGCCACAGGCCCCUGGUGGAAGAGAGGGAGCCGGGGAACUCAGAGAUGCCCACUGUGGCCUCCCCACCGGGCAGCAUGGCCUCAGGGACCAGUGUGGUGUCCAGAAGAAAAUGCAGGGUCUGGUGGGGCUCGUCCCCUCUGAGGUGACAGAGGAGGCCAUGGAGGUCAGCAGAGAAGGCUCUGGGGAGACAGGAAAGUCGUGGCCCCCACCCCAAGCUGAUGGCACCAUUUGCUGAUCAGCAAAGAGAAACUUGCCCACCUACCACAGGACCCUCCUGGCAGCAUCUCCCAGGCUGACCUUUAGGACCCCAUGGCCAUCUUGGGCCACAUUUCUGAGCCACUGGGUCUGGAUGUGGGGACAUGUAGGGCCCUUCCCAGCCCCGGUUAAGAGAGGGGACUUUGGGGAGCUCACAGAUGAGAGCAGAGCACGCCAGCCCUGGGACUGAGGAAGUUUUGAUGCCACUCUGUGAGUGGACACUGGGCAGAGGUUGGAAGGAAAUCCCCCAAUAUAUCUGUGCCUACUGUAAGCCAGGGCAGGGGCCAGCCGGGCACUGCUGUCACAGCCACAGGUUGGCUUAGUAAGGGGAGCUUGGGGGGAGGAUGAUGGGGACUGCCAGUAGUGGAAAGACACGGGCUUUGACUUUUCAGCUCCUGCUAGGGCUGUGGAGCCAGCUGAAGACAGGGCCCAGGAGCUGGGAUAGCCAUCCCCCACUCCAGCUCCUGCUGGGACUCUUGAGCUGGCUGAAGACGCGGCCAUGGAGCAGGGAGAGCCAUCCCCUGCUCCAGCUCCCACCAUGGCUGUGGAGCCAGCUGAACAUGUGGCCCCAGAACAGGGAGAGCCAUGCCCUGCUCCGGCUCCUGCCAGGGCCCAGGAGCAAGCUGAAGUCACGGCCAGGGAAGAGGGAAAGCCAUCUGCUGCUCCAGAUUCUGCCUGUGCCUGGAAGACUGCUGAAGCCUCAGCCACGGUCCAGAGAGAGCCAUCCACUUCUCUGCCUCCUGCUGGGGCUGGCGAGGCAGCUGAAACCACAGCUGCAGAUCACGGACAGCCAUCCCCUUGUCUAGAUCCUCCUGGGCACCUGGAGCCUGCUCAGGCGCUAGCCCUGUCCUCGGGAGAGCUCACUCUCCAACCCCCGUCAUCCCCAGCUCCUGACCCAUCCCUUCCACCUUCUUCCUCACCACGACCUCCCUUCGUCUCCCCCCUUAACCUGUAUGUCUGUGUGGCCAUUUAUGUUUUUUGAUUUCUUGUCUUGUUGUGGUGUUUGUGUCAGUUUUGAAAUAGAUUUGUUGAUUUAUAUUUUAAGAAAUCUGUGUUUUCUCCUUUUAAAUUGUACAAUUCCUGAGUAUUAAGUUCCCAGCUCAUAGAGACAGCCCCCAACAGCUCACUCAUCUAGCACAUGUCUGGAAGGAGCACCAUGUUUUCGUGUUGUCUGCCCAUCUGCCGGGUCCGCAGACUCAGCAGAGACCGCCACGAGCACCCAAGAUGCAGAUGCUGGCUCCUGUCCCACUUGAGACAUCUCUGGACGUUUGUGAGAAAGGACACAAAGAGGUCAUCUCAGGAGGUGGGCACAGAGCUGGUGGAAGGGGACACGGAGUCCAUCUCCCCGAGGGAGGAGAAGCUGUGCAGGAACACUGGAGCGACAUGCGUGGGGAAAAGGCCAGCGUCAGAGCCAGUACAGGGCCCAGCACAUGUGUGGGGAGAACAAUCCUUUUGAGCAGCUCCUGCAGAAGAGCAGGAGACAAGCGGGGCCCCACGCCGGAAGCAGGGAGAGCCAGCCCCUACUCAGGCUCCUGCAGGAGCCAUGCUGCCUGCUGUGCUCGAAACAGCUGAGCAGGGAGACCCAUGCCCUGCUCUGGCUCCUGCAGGGGCCCAGGAGCCAGCUGAAGCCGCAGCCAUGGACCAGGGAGAGCCAUCCCCUGCUCCAGAUCCUGCCAGGCCCCAGGAGCCUGCUGAAGCCGGGGCCAUGGACCAGGGAGAGGCAUCCCCAUCUCCAGCUCCUGCCAGGAUUGUGGAGGUGGCUGAAGCCUGGACCACAGCCCAGGGGGAGCAAUCCCCUGCUCCAGCUCCUGCCAGGGUCCUGGGGCAGGCUGAAGCUGCGGCAGCACACCAGGGGGAUCCAUUCCCUGCUUCAGCUCCUGCCAGGGCUGUAGAGACAGCUGAAGCUGUGGGAGCACACCAGGGAGAGCCAUCCCAUGCUCCAGAUCCUCCUGGAGCCAUGGAGCCCGCUCAGGCCCCAGGAUUGUCCCCAGGAGAGCUCACUCUCCAACCCCCUGUCAUCCCCAGGUCCUGACCCAUCCCUUCCACCUUCUCCCUCACCACAACCUCCCUUCCUCUCGCCCCUUGACCGGUAUGUCUGUGUAGCCGUUUAUGUUUCUCAUUUUAUUGUCUUUUUUUGGUGUUUAUGU
rnacentral:lncRNA from 1 species